rnacentral:rRNA from 1 species
GACGAACGCUGGCGGCGUGCCUAAUACAUGCAAGUUGAGCGCUGAAGGUUGGUACUUGUACCGACUGGAUGAGCAGCGAACGGGUGAGUAACGCGUGGGGAAUCUGCCUUUGAGCGGGGGACAACAUCUGGAAACGAAUGCUAAUACCGCAUAAAAACUUUAAACUCAAGUUUUAAGUUUGAAAGAUGCAAUUGCAUCACUCAAAGAUGAUCCCGCGUUGUAUUAGCUAGUUGGUGAGGUAAAGGCUCACCAAGGCGAUGAUACAUAGCCGACCUGAGAGGGUGAUCGGCCACAUUGGGAAUGGGACACGGCCCAAAACCCUACGGGAGGCAGCAGUAGGGAAUCUUCGGCCAUGGACGAAAGUCUGACCGAGCAACGCCGCGGGAGGGAAGAAGGGUGUCGGAUCGUAAAACUCUGUUGGUAGAGAAGAACGUUGGGGAGAGUGGAAAGCUCAUCAAGUGACGGUAACUACCCAGAAAGGGACGGCUAACUACGUG